rnacentral:rRNA from 1 species
GACGAACGCUGGCGGCGUGCUUAACACAUGCAAGUCGAACGGAAAGGCCCUGCUUUUGUGGGGUGCUCGAGUGGCGAACGGGUGAGUAACACGUGAGUAACCUGCCCUUGACUUUGGGAUAACUUCAGGAAACUGGGGCUAAUACCGGAUAGGAGCUCCUGCAGCAUGGAGGGGGUUGGAAAGUUUCGGCGGUUGGGGAUGGACUCGCGGCUUAUCAGCUUGUUGGUGGGGUAGUGGCUUACCAAGGCUUUGACGGGUAGCCGGCCUGAGAGGGUGACCGGCCACAUUGGGACUGAGAUACGGCCCAGACUCCUACGGGAGGCAGCAGUGGGGAAUCUUGCACAAUGGGCGGAAGCCUGAUGCAGCAACGCCGCGUGCGGGAUGACGGCCUUCGGGUUGAAAACCGCUUUCGCCUGUGACGAAGCGUGAGUGACGGUAAUGGGUAAAGAAGCACCGGCUAACUACGUG